ensembl:lncRNA
AUGGUAGAGAAGUAGGGGAACCCUAGGCUUUCCUUGUCCCUCAAACAGAGCUGGAUUGAGGUCAGAUUACUUGGAACACCCAGAGUGUCUGCAAAGUGGCAGAAGGAUUUCGAUAGUUGGAGGGAGACAGCAUGGUAGGUGCGAGGUAUGUGGAAGUGAAUUGAGGGAGAGAAAAAUUGCGGUGGCGCAGAGGGGAGAGAACACUUUUCAUGGAGAGACAAAAGGGAGAGAAAUAGAGAGAGAUUGAGAGAGUGUGGCAUUGGUUUUGCACAAGAGGAAGAAUGUACUAAGGGGUGCAUACAAGGAUUAUUGAGUAGCAGUGAGUACUUAGUUGAAAUUCAAUAGUAUAAAUAUUGAGUACUGUCAACCAUCCCUAUUCAAUGACAGUAACAGUAGCCUAGAAUUGUGUUUAUUUUAGAGCUAAAAAGGACCACCUAAUUGAACUUUGCAGCUUACAGAUGAGGAAACUGAGGCACAAAGAAGCUAAAUGAGUGGCGUGGGUCUACAAAGCAAAUGGCAGAGCAAUUCUAAUGCCUACACCAGAUCUAAGGAUAGUGUUUGUAGGGAUUUCAAAGUAUGAGUAACUUUAAAGUAAUUGAAUUUCAGAAUUUUCCAUGGAUUCUCUCCCUCUCUGUCUCUCUCUGUCUCUCUCUCUCUCUCUCUCUCUCUCUCUCUGUCUCCAUCUCUCUCUCCCUCCACCCUUCUCCUGUCAAAGAGAACCUCUUGCUGGAAUUUGAUCUUGUCUUUGCGGAGCGAUUUCUUGAACUCCUGUGUCAAGUCUUAUCAGAAGCAAGAGAAAAUGGCAAACAUGGGAACGGAGACAUGCAUUUACCCAAACCUAGUAUUUGGUGUUGUGAGCAGAAAGAGACAAACGCAAAAGAAAAGGACUCUUGGCUAUAUCAUGGACAACAACCUGGCAAAACUAAUGUCUUCAGUCUAAUGCCUACUCUGAUACAAGGUGAGUAGCAAAGCUCCAAUGCUUGGGAACAUAACAGCAAUGAGAUUGGCAAAGAACCAAAGGGAAGAGCGUGACACUGUUAGGGACAACCUGGAGUUGUAUGCAUGACCAAGAGAUGAUUGGCCUUUCCUGACUUAUUUUUUGAGCAUUGAUUUAUAUGUGUGGUACAUAGUUUUUUUUCUUCCUGUUUUUCUCUAAACUAAUUUAUAUUUCUAGAUUCUAUUUUUCCUAGAAUGCUGUUAUAUAGGCAAUUAAGGUACUUAUAUUUUCCACGAAAAUGACUUUCCCCGAACUUCUCUCACCCACUAAGAGUAGAAAUCUGAUAUUUGUGUUGUUGGAAGAAGGGAAUGUGCUCGAAGGUGUUUGGAUAGGCUCUUAGUUUUUGACAGACUUCAUCCAUGGGAAUUUUUUACUCAUUAGUACACCUCAUGGAUUCAAGGAUUCAGAUUUCUGUCUUUGGUAAUUUUAAGGUGCUUCCAGAGAAAAAUGCUGGUUCUUUUCCUGUAAGGCUUGUAUUAAGUGCAAACACAUGGAAUCCUAGCCUUCCUAAAUUGAACAAAAUCUUAGAAGUCAAAUCAUCCAGCCUCUUGGUUUUAAAUUUUUGAGAAAAAUAAGGUUUUGGUAUAAACAGUCUAAUGAAAAGAUAGCUGAACUUGAAGCCAGAAUAGUUGUUUAUGACUCAUCCAUUGAUUCACUGUGCACUGUUUGCUUGGCCUUUAAUCUGUACUAUAUUUUGCAGUAAGCAUAUUAUGGGAAGACCCACUAAUCUGUGUAAUCUCAGACAAAUUAUGUAAACAGAGACUCUGUUUCUUUAUCUUUUAAUUGGCGAUAACAAUAAUAAUCCCUUGUGGCCAGAUUGGGUUGGAGGGAAAAACAAACAAGGUGGACAAAAGGUCCUUUGCAAAUCCCCUAUGUUUCUGAAACAGUGGAUGGCACUGACAGAAACCCAGGGCAAGGUUGAUAAAAAAGAGUUGGUGGUUUCUACUCUCCUUUCUGCAGUAAGUAGAGAAGAGUUUGCAACUGCAUCUCUUAGCCUCUGGCCUCUGGUUUCUCUAGUUUCUUCCAAACUUUGGAAGUUUAUUUGGGGGAAGGACUAUUGGUUUUACUGUAAAAGGAGUGGAGCUGAGUUUGAAGUUUGGUUGUACCUAUCAGCUGUUUGACCUUGAGCAAGCUUCAAUAUUUCUUGAACUUUAUUUUCCCAUCACUAUAAUGGGGUUUUAGAACAUCUGUAUGCUUUAGCUAAAGCAAAGAGAUAUAGAAAUGCUUUCUUUCUCAGGGCACCUGGGUGGCUCAGUCAGUUAAGCUUCUGACUUCAGCUCAGGUCAUGAUCUCACGGUUUGUGGGUUUAAGCCCUGCGUUGGGCUCUGUGCUGACAGCUUGGAGCCUGGAGCCUGCUUCAGAUUCUGUGUCUCCCUCUCUCUCUGCCCCUCCUCUGCUCAUGCUCUGGUUCUCUCAAAAAUAAAUAAACAUUUAAAAAAAUUAAAAAAAAAAGA